rnacentral:misc_RNA from 1 species
AACCAUUCUCACCUGCGGCUAGACCUGCGGAAGGAUCAUUAAACAACUAGGCCGUAACAAGCCUUGAACCCUUCUCUACGCGCACCCUUACCUUCUCCUUCGGCGGGUCAGCGCCCGCCGUCGGAACCAACAAACCCCCUUUUGCAUCUAGCAUACCACCCGUUCCGAUACAAAACACAAUCGUUACAACUUUUAGCAACGGAUCU